rnacentral:rRNA from 1 species
UACGGAGGGUGCAAGCGUUAUCCGGAAUCACUGGGUUUAAAGGGUGCGUAGGCGGGGAAUUAAGUGUAAGGUGAAAGUCUGUAGCUUAACUAUAGAAUUGCCUUAUAUACUGGUUUUCUUGAAUUAGGUUGAGGAUAGCGGAAUGUGGCAUGUAGCGGUGAAAUGCAUAGAUAUGCCAUAGAACACCAAUUGCGAAGGCAGCUAUCUGGGCCUUGAUUGACGCUGAGGCACGAAAGCGUGGGGAUCGAACAGG